rnacentral:rRNA from 1 species
GGCGGCGUGCUUAACACAUGCAAGUCGAGCGGUAAGGCCCUUUCGGGGUACACGAGCGGCGAACGGGUGAGUAACACGUGAGUAAUCUGCCCUUCACUUCGGGAUAAGCCUCGGAAACGGGGUCUAAUACCGGAUAUGACCACUUCACGCAUGUGAUGGUGGUGGAAAGUUUUUCGGUGGGGGAUGUGCUCGCGGCCUAUCAGCUUGUUGGUGGGGUAAUGGCCUACCAAGGCUUCGACGGGUAGCCGGCCUGAGAGGGUGACCGGCCACACUGGGACUGAGACACGGCCCAGACUCCUACGGGAGGCAGCAGUGGGGAAUAUUGGACAAUGGGCGGAAGCCUGAUCCAGCAACGCCGCGUGAGGGAUGACGGCCUUCGGGUUGUAAACCUCUUUCAGUAGGGACGAAGCGCAAGUGACGGUACCUACAGAAGAAGCACCGGCCAACUACGUGCCAGCAGCCGCGGUAAUACGUAGGGUGCGAGCGUUGUCCGGAAUUAUUGGGCGUAAAGGGCUCGUAGGCGGUUUGUCGCGUCGGGAGUGAAAACACUGGGCUUAACUCAGUGCUUGCUUCCGAUACGGGCAGACUAGAGGUAUUCAGGGGAGAACGGAAUUCCUGGUGUAGCGGUGAAAUGCGCAGAUAUCAGGAGGAACACCGGUGGCGAAGGCGGUUCUCUGGGAAUUACCUGACGCUGAGGAGCGAAAGUGUGGGGAGCGAACAGGAUUAGAUACCCUGGUAGUCCACACCGUAAACGUUGGGCGCUAGGUGUGGGGUCCAUUCCACGGAUUCCGUGCCGCAGCUAACGCAUUAAGCGCCCCGCC